UGCUGUGGCUUAGCGGGGUUCC
rnacentral:piRNA from 1 species